rnacentral:misc_RNA from 1 species
ACUGUGAACCUUACGAUUUUGCUAUCUGAGCAGUUGGACGGCCGGAAGAGAAAGAAAGAAUUCCGAACCCCUUGUUGAGAGAGCCGACCAAUGGAAUGGGACUUGAAAAGAUAGAGGGGUUUUCCCGACUAGCUGAGAGUCUUUACACCGAUAGUCUUUCACUUUUAUAGUGCUAUGGAUCGUACCUCUGGCCGAGGAUGAGGACAUCUUUUUCGUAACAGAAACAGAAUCAGGGGUGGACCUUAGUGGCCUUCUCGCUACGAAUACACCGGGUUAACUAAUGCCUCCGUAUAAUAUCAGAAGGGAGUUCUUAUGAAAGGAAUGCCAUCUUUCAGACUUAAUUAAGUUACCGAUUGCAGACUUUUAAAGUACUUAUGGAUAUGCUGAUGGCGAAUCUGUGGGGUAAGCCUUUGUUGCAGUGAAGGAAAAUUUGGCUUAUUAGAGGUCCGGUCGGCUCUCUCACUCAUCUCUCUCUAUGAAAGAGUCUAUACAAGGGAAAAAGUCCUUAAAUGCACAUUACGA